GGCAGCAGACGUUUCCACAUUCUAGAACGACCAUCCAGGCCAGCCCCUCGCCAGGAUGAAGUUUUCCAGAUUUGUGAGCAUCCUCGUGCUAUUUGGCCUGCUUACAAAGGUCCAGGGACCUAGUCUAACUGACUUUCUGUUUCCCAGCCCUAUAGCUUUGUGGUGAAGAAACGGGACAGAGUAAAUCUUCCCUCGUGGCAACUGCUCUGCAGACAUUAGCUAACGUUUGUUUGCGUUCCCUAUCUCAUGUAAUCCUCGUAAGAGCUCUACGAGAGUGAGUCCUAUCCACACCCCGAUUUUAUUCCUUUAAAUUUUUGAAAUUUUAAACAUUAAAGUAUAAUUUCCCCUUUC
rnacentral:lncRNA from 1 species